CAUGAGUUAUGUCAUGUUAUCGACAUGUGAAUUCAUAGCAUGUCAGAAGGCAGACCCGGAGAACUGAAACAUCUUAGUACCCGGAGGAAGAGAAAGAAAAAUCGAUUCCCUGAGUAGCGGCGAGCGAAACGGGAAGAGCCCAAACCAACAAGCUUGCUUGUUGGGGUUGUAGGACACUCUAUACGGAGUUACAAAAGAACAUGUUAGACGAAUCAUCUGGAAAGAUGAAUCAAAGAAGGUAAUAAUCCUGUAGUCGAAAACAUAUUCUCUCUUGAGUGGAUCCUGAGUACGACGGAGCACGUGAAAUUCCGUCGGAAUCUGGGAGGACCAUCUCCUAAGGCUAAAUACUCUCUAGUGACCGAUAGUGAACCAGUACCGUGAGGGAAAGGUGAAAAGUACCCCGGAAGGGGAGUGAAAGAGAACUUGAAACCGUGUGCUUACAAGUAGUCAGAGCCCGUUAAUGGGUGAUGGCGUGCCUUUUGUAGAAUGAACCGGCGAGUUACGAUCUGAUGCAAGGUUAAGCAGCAAAUGUGGAGCCGCAGCGAAAGCGAGUCUGAAUAGGGCGUUGAGUAUUUGGUCGUAGACCCGAAACCAGGUGAUCUACCCUUGGUCAGGUUGAAGUUCAGGUAACACUGAAUGGAGGACCGAACCGACUUACGUUGAAAAGUGAGCGGAUGAACUGAGGGUAGCGGAGAAAUUCCAAUCGAACUUGGAGAUAGCUGGUUCUCUCCGAAAUAGCUUUAGGGCUAGCCUCAAGUGAUGAUUAUUGGAGGUAGAGCACUGUUUGGACGAGGGGCCCCUCUCGGGUUACCGAAUUCAGACAAACUCCGAAUGCCAAUUAAUUUAACUUGGGAGUCAGAACAUGGGUGAUAAGGUCCGUGUUCGAAAGGGAAACAGCCCAGACCACCAGCUAAGGUCCCAAAAUAUAUGUUAAGUGGAAAAGGAUGUGGCGUUGCCCAGACAACUAGGAUGUUGGCUUAGAAGCAGCCAUCAUUUAAAGAGUGCGUAAUAGCUCACUAGUCGAGUGACACUGCGCCGAAAAUGUACCGGGGCUAAACAUAUUACCGAAGCUGUGGAUUGUCCUUUGGACAAUGGUAGGAGAGCGUUCUAAGGGCGUCGAAGCAUGAUCGCAAGGACAUGUGGAGCGCUUAGAAGUGAGAAUGCCGGUGUGAGUAGCGAAAGACGGGUGAGAAUCCCGUCCACCGAUUGACUAAGGUUUCCAGAGGAAGGCUCGUCCGCUCUGGGUUAGUCGGGUCCUAAGCUGAGGCCGACAGGCGUAGGCGAUGGAUAACAGGUUGAUAUUCCUGUACCACCUAGUAUCGUUUUAAUCGAUGGGGGG
rnacentral:rRNA from 1 species